GACAGAGGCCCCAAGCGUUAGGCGGAAUCACUGGGCUUAAAGCGUGUGUAGGCGGAUCGUUAAGUGUCUUGUGAAAUCCCACGGCUCACCCGUGGAACUGCUGGGCAUACUGGCGAUCUUGGGCCAACUAGGGGCAGCCGGAACAAGCGGUGGAGCGGUGAAAUGCGUAGAUAUCGCUUGGAACGCCAAAGGUGAAAACAGGCUGCUGGGGUUGUGCCGACGCUGAGACACGAAAGCCAGGGGAGCAAACGGGG
rnacentral:rRNA from 1 species